ensembl:lncRNA
CCAUUUGUAUGGCUAAACCAGAUAUAAUACCAUCUGUAUGGCUAAAACAACAACAACAACAACACGGAACAUUCCGGCAACGGGCCGGCGUCAUGGCAACGCCCUUGCAUGGCAAUCCAAUUUAUUGAACUACAGAUGCUGGGUUAUACAAAAUACACCACUUCAAUUAAGGCUUUUUAGUUUACAUUUGGCCACGCCCCCUCUGUUUGUCCCUCCCCAGCCCCUCCCCCUUAAUAGGCAGAUGACGUUGCAUUUCCAAUACUGUGGCUCUGUGAGGGGACAUGGUACACACGGUCUGUCCACCAUGCUGCUGUUGGUUAUCAUCACAGCAACACAAAGCGACAAAGGCAUUCUCUUACAAGAGGUCAACAGAGGUCACGCAACUCACAACAAACGUGCAACUUUAAACCCCCCCCUCCCCCUCCAUCUCAAAUGGCAACCUAAGCCCAUAGGGCUAUAGUCAAAAGUAGUGCCCUAUGUAGGGAAUAGGGUGCCAUUAGGGACGUACACCCCCCGUCUCAUCCAAGUUCUGCCUGUUCCUCCUCCUCCAUCAUCAUCUCUACAUUGCUGUGGUUCUUAUUGUAUUUCAGUCUUAUUCCCUGCUGCUUCAAACACAUUAGUUUGUCCCCCUCCCCCACAUUCACUAUAGAACAGAUAACAACCCCACACGGUUACUCUUCAUCAUCAUCAUCAUCAUCAUCAUCAUCAUCAUCAUCAUCAUCAUCAUCAUCUGACAGACUGACAGGAAACAGGUCAAACCAAGUAUUACACAGGUGAAAUAGUCACUAACAGGCAAGUUUCUUUACUGACAGGAUCCAAUAUUUGGUUUUCAUGUCCUCAGCUGACAACAGAUGCAUUAGCAAGCAAGGGGACAGGGGAGGGCUGGGAGAGAUGGGGAGGGGCUGGGGGAGAGGGGGAGGGGCCGGGGGAGGGCUUGGGGAGAGGAGUGAGAUAGGGGAAAGAGGCUAGGGGACAGGGGGAGAUAGGGGCUGUGGGAGGGAGGGAGAAGGGGAGAGAGGGGGACAGAGGCUAGGGGACAGGGGAGAUAGGGGCUGUGGGAGGGAGGGAGAAGGGGAGAGAGGCUAGGGGACAGAGGGAGAUAGGGACAGAGGCUAGGGGACAGGGGGAGAUAGGGGCUGUGGGAGGGAGGGAGAUAGGGACAGAGGCUAGGGACAGGGGAGAUAGGGGCUGUGGGAGGGAGGGAGAUAGGGACAGAGGCUAGGGGACAGAGGCUAGGGGACAGGGGGAGAUAGGGGCUGUGGGAGGGAGGGAGAAGGGGAGAGAGGCUGUUAUAGAAAAGGAAAGGGAGUACAGUGAGAAUCUACAGUAGCGUUUUCCAAACUCGGUCCUGGCCCCGCCCCCCCCUGGGUGCAUGUUUUGGUUCUUGCCCUAGCACUACACAGAUUACUCAAAUAAUCUUCAAGCAUGAUUAUUUGAAUCAGCUGUGCAGUGCCAAAAGGUGUCCCCCUUGGGGUCCCCUGGACCUAGUUUGGGAAACACUGCUCUACAACAACAGAAGUGUGGAGAAUGACAUCACCAAUGACAUUAUUUCAUUUAUUUUUUCGUAUUAAAAACCCUAAUUUAAAAAUAAAAAAAAAUCUAUACUUCCUGUUGUAGAUCGCAGAUUCCAUGAGAGGGGAUUGGCUAACUGGACAAACCAACCAAUGAGAGACGGCCUUGGAAGGAUAAAGUAAAAAAAAAAAAAAAAACAUGAUGAGGAUCGCCCAGUCACUUCAGCCAUUGGUGUCUCAGAAGUUUGGUCGCUUGUUAAAAUGUCCAGUCCCUCUUUGACCACAACCCCAAUUGAAAAACCCCACUGUACAAACAUCUUUGUAAACAACACAAGGGUUGCCUCCAAAAUUGCACCCUAAUUCCUUAUAUAGUGUACUACUUUUGACCAGGGCCCAUAGGGAAACCAAGAGGGAAACCAGUAGGGAAACCAGUAGGGAAACCAAUAGGGA